UNGCAGUUUUCAGUGCUUUAACCCACUCCUU
rnacentral:piRNA from 1 species